AACAGCAGACCUGAGAAGCGCCUUAGUCAUCCAUCAACUUUCUUAAAGAUCGUGACCUAAACGUCUGCUUUAAAGAUGAAGAAACUGCAUAGAAACAACAACAAAAAGCUGGUUACUGGGUUCCAGUGUGGGUGGAUUAAUCAGCAUGACCCACUGACGGCAAAAUAUGCUUUCAGAAUGCGCUCUUCGUGAUAAAUGGAAGGCUUGAAAAUAUAAACAGACUGUCUUGCACAAGGAACCCUCUGAAGCAGAGGGCCCUGUUUAAAUGAAAACCAGCAUUUCAAAUGGAAAGCAAGACGAAAUCACAACACAGGGAUCAUGUUCCCUCUAGCGUGGACUUUAGCCAGAGUUGGUUCACCUGCACGUGGUCAUUACAGACCAUCAGCAUCAGGAAAAAUAGUCUUCUAGAGACGUUAACAGAUGUGCUGCUGAUAAAGACUUCCCCUAAGCAACGUAUGCAUUGUUACUCUUUCUUGGAAAUUCACUGGUCCGUUGUGGGAAAGAGGCUAUAGACUACCAACAGCAGAAGCCCUUCCCAGGAAGGAGCUGACAUGUAACAGCCGAUGGCCUCCUCAUCCAGUUGGUCUUUUCCUUGAUCUCUGUGAACAGCUUUGGCCUCUAAACUUCAGGCUCAACUCCCUGGAAGCCAAGGGAUCCUGUCCUUCUCUCUUGUGAGCUUAUUGUGUGAUGAUAUGUCAACAUGUUCUGCUAGUAAAGUC